AUGUGCAUGCCACCAGUACCACUAAGUAAGAUCGACGACAUGGGAUUCAUGUGCUGUUCCUCACACCCACUACGGGCAGCCUCGUUGCUGCUGCUUUGCUUCUGCGUGGUGCUAUCCAGAGUGCACGCAGGAGGAUCUCGUUCUCGCGAGCUUUACAUCGCUUACCUAGGCGACGUGAAGCACGAGCACCCGGACGAUGUCGUCGCCUCUCACCAUGAAAUGCUCGGCACUCUUCUCCAAAGGGAGGGUUCCUCAGCCUCCAUGGUCUACCACUACAAGCAUGGUUUCUCGGGCUUCGCCGCCAUGCUCACCGCGGACCAAGCAACAAGGCUUGCAGAAUUUCCGGGAGUCAUCAGCGUUCAACCGAGCAAGACGUACAGGAGCACCACCACGCGGAGCUGGGAUUUUCUUGGGCUCCAUUAUCCGUCCUCCCAUAUGCCGGCCAGUGAGUUACUGCACGCAAGCAACUACGGAGAGGAUAUAAUCAUUGGCGUGAUUGACACCGGGAUAUGGCCGGAGUCUAGAAGCUUCAGUGACCAAGGGUACGGGCCGGUGCCAUCAAGGUGGAAAGGAAAGUGCCAGGUUGGGCCCGAUUGGGGCAACAACAAUUGCAGCCGCAAGAUCAUCGGCGCAAGGUUCUAUACCGUUGGGAUCGCCGACAAAUACUUAAAGGCGGACUCUCUCUCGCCCCGGGAUCACAACGGCCAUGGCACGCACACGGCUUCCACUGCUGCGGGCUCUACCGUGGAGGAGGAGGUAGCCAGCUUCCACGGCCUUGCUGCGGGGGUGGCACGCGGAGGCGCGCCACGCGCUCGCAUCGCAAUGUACAAAUCACUCUGGAGCGUGGAUGAAACUGGCUCCACGGCGUCUGUGCUAGCCGCCAUCGACGACGCGAUCCAUGACGGGGUGGACGUAUUGUCAAUGUCCCUCGCGUCCCGCGACGGCUCAGACGACUACUCCUUUGCCACCUUGCACGCGGUCCAGAAAGGGAUCACCGUGGUAAUGUCUGCCGGUAACGAUGGGCCCCGGGCCCAGACGGUGGCGAACAGCUCGCCGUGGGGCAUUACCGUCGCGGCGAGCAAGCUGGACCGCUCGUUCCCGACGGUGGUCACGCUGGGAAACAAGCAACAGAUGGUGGGACAGUCUCUCUAUUACCAACCCAAGAACUCAUCAUCCCGGAGCAAUUUCGCGUCUCUUGCAUGUAUAUCAACCUGCACCAAGGAGGCGCUCGAGGAGGCAUUCUCUGGCGAGGAACUGACUGGGAUAAUCCUGCUCUGCUACAAAGAGCCGCAGGCGCCUUUCAAUCCACAGGGGGUUUUCAUCCAGGCGUCCACGUACGUGGUGGACCAUGGGGGAUCUGGGCUCAUCUUCGUGCAACGCACCACGGAUGCCUUAGAAGUCAUCCCGUAUUACUGCACGGGCAUCGCGUGCGUUCUCGUCGACCCCGAUGUCGGGAACAAGAUGCACCAAUAUUGCAUGGACUCAAGCUCUCCUCGCCUGGCAAAGAUUGAACCAGCACGCACCGUCACGGGCAAGGGCAUACUGGCCCCGAAAGUGGCCGCCUUCUCCUCGCGAGGCCCAUCAAUUGAUUACCCCGCCUUCAUCAAGCCUGACAUAGCUGCGCCUGGAUCCAACAUCUUGGCAGCAGUCAGAAACUCCUACGAAACUAUGUCUGGGACGUCCAUGGCAGCACCACAUGUAACAGGUGUUGCCGCGCUGCUCAAAGCUAUGCACCCAGACUGGUCUUCUGCUGCAAUCAAAUCAGCCAUCGUCACCACUGCCUGUGUAACUGAUCAACGCGGCAUGUCAAUACUGGCGGAAGGACUGCCACGGAAGGUGGCCGACCCGUUCGACUAUGGAGGUGGGAACAUCAACCCUUCUAGGGCAGCCCAUCCAGGACUGGUUUACGACAUUAAUCCACGCAAUUACAACAAAUUCUUCCAAUGUGCAAUCAUCAAUCAGAGGACAUCGACAUCCGUGGGCUGCAACGCCACACUACUGGCGUACAACCUCAACUUGCCGUCCAUUUCAGUUCCCGACCUGAGGGGUCCGAUCACCAUCCCAAGGAUGGUGACAAAUGUCGGCGAUGUCCAUUCAGUGUAUCAUGCCAUAGUGCAAAGCCCAGACGGAGUCAAGAUGGAGGUUUUCCCACCUGUUCUUGUGUUCGACAAUGCGAACAAAGUUCAAAAGUUUGAUGUGAAGCUGUCACCUAUGUGGAACUUGCAAGGGGACUACACGUUUGGCAGUCUUACUUGGCAUAACGACCUACAUACUGUGAGGAUUCCAGUUGCGGCCCGGAUUACAAAUCAGGAUUUCUAUGCGGAUGUUGCAUAA
rnacentral:rRNA from 1 species